GGGUGUAGCAAUGAAGUUAAUGAGACAAGUGAAGUAAACAAAGUAUAUUAGUCGAGUGGUAGAGGUUGUAGUGUGUUAUAGUUACAGGUGAAUUUACAUAAAAAAAUAAAAUGGGGCUUCAGACCGCAGUUCUAUUUGCCCUUUGUGCUGUAUGUUUGCAAAAUUUAGUCACAGGUGAGCCUUCAAACUACCGAACUUACCGUAUUCUUACCACUGGAUCCAGAUAUUAUCCAACGUAUAACGAUUAUUACACAUACCAGAGUGCUCCACAAGCAUACAGAUACACAUAUUCGAGACCGAUAUACGACGAUAAGGUUUAUAUAACGGACAGAUAUGGCAACACUGUAGCUCAAUCGUCAAGCGAUUACUACAGAUACGUUCAAAGUACCAAAUAUGCCGAUAGCGAACCCUAUUGUGAUCGAUGCUACUAUAGAGAAGGUUCUAUUUUUUAUAAAUCAGUAUA